AUGCUUCAGCAGCAUAUACUUUAAAAUUGGAUCAAUAGAUAAGCAUAAGCAUGGCUGCUGCCUAAGGAUGGCACACAAAUUCAUAAAGCAUUGAUAUUUUGC
rnacentral:snRNA from 1 species